GUUCAAUACGGAGCACUUCACCAUGAUUCUAGAAUCCCAAAGAUGAAACAUCCAGAACUUACUCUUUCUCUUUUCUUUUUCUUCACUGAUUUUCUUUUCACCUCUUCAAACUUUGAAAAAAGCAAUUUUUAACACUUCGAAGAUAUAUAGGUACAAUUACAAAGCAUCAUCAUUUCGUAACCCUUAAUUCAAUUACAGAUUUCUAGCAACGAGCACUCGGAUGACAAUUGUUCAAAUAGUGGUGCCACGCCGAAUAAAAAAAGGUGUAUUUAAAGAUGUUAAUGACAUGAAUGCAGAUGACCAAUUUACAUCAACUGAGUUUUCUACAACCAAAUAUCAGCGAAAGAUUAAAGUUGAGCACGAAAAGGAUGAAGAUGAUUCUCGAGUCUUUGUUGUAUGCUCAAGUUGUUACUCUGAGAUUAAUAAUAUGUUCUUUUCUAAUUUUAUUUUUAGAAUAAUAUAAUGUGAGCUAUUUUGCUAGACACCUUCAAUAAUUAUGAUAUUGUUAAGAUAUAUGAUAUCAUCAAUAUUGGAAAA